rnacentral:rRNA from 1 species
UACGUAGGGUGCGAGCGUUGUCCGGAAUUAUUGGGCGUAAAGAGCUUGUAGGCGGUCUGUCGCGUCUGCUGUGAAAAUCCGGGGCUCAACCCCGGACUUGCAGUGGGUACGGGCAGACUAGAGUGUGGUAGGGGAGACUGGAAUUCCUGGUGUAGCGGUGAAAUGCGUAGAUAUCAAGAGGAACACCUGCGGCGAAGGCGGGUUGCUGGGCCGACACUGACGCUGAGGCGCGAAAGCCAGGGGAGCGAACGGG